GAGGACCGGGAUGGACGUACCUCUGGUGUACCAGUUGUCCUGCCAAGGGCAUGGCUGGGUAGCUAUGUACGGAAUGGAUAAGCGCUGAAAGCAUCUAAGCGCGAAGCCAACUUCAAGAUAAGAUUUCCCACCGCAAGGGUAAGACCCCAGAAAGACUAUCUGGUUGAUAGGUCGAAGGUGUAAGUGCAGCAAUGUAUUUAGCUUAUCGAUACUAAUAGGUCGAGGACUUGACCAAU
rnacentral:rRNA from 1 species